rnacentral:piRNA from 1 species
AUGUGGGCCACUUCUGUGCGUAAAGAUGU